rnacentral:tmRNA from 1 species
GGGAGUGAUUUUGGCUUCGACACGGGAGGCUGAGGUCACAUUGCAAGCCGCAGAGUCUGGCUGCGUUAACAACAGGCUAGCACUAUAGGUGCCAACAAUAACCAACCGGCUUACGCUUACGCCGCCUAAUUCCGGCGUAGCCUAAGUCGCUAGACCUGCGAGUGUCUAGCCGUCUGCCCCAUCCGUCACUAUCCGGGUGGUUUGGCGGGCGUCAUAAAAGAUAGUGUGCAGCCUUGCCUACGCCGAUAAAGCUUGGCGAAGAGACCAUCGGCUAGCAGUUGGCGUACCGUGUUGAUUGGGGCUACCAACUGCGAAAUCCUAACAAUCAACUAAGCUUGUAGACGUGUGGCAUCGAAUCUCGUGGACCCCGGUUCGAACCCGGGCACUUCCACAC